CCUGGUUGAUCCUGCCAGUAAUCAUAUGCUUGUCUCAAAGAUUAAGCCAUGCAUGUCUAAGUACAUGCCGAAAUAAGGCGAAACCGCGAAUGGCUCAUUAAAUCAGUUAUGGUUCCUUAGAUCGUUUCUUCCUACUUGGAUAACUGUGGCAAUUCUAGAGCUAAUACAUGCAGUGAGCCUGGAGCCCUUUGGGUAACGGGUGCUUUUAUUAGACCAAGAUCGAUCGGGUUUCGGCCCGUAUUGUGUGGUGACUCUGGAUAACUUUGUGCUGAUCGCAUGGCCACGAGCCGGCGACGUUUCUUUCAAGUGUCUGCCUUAUCAACUUUCGAUGGUAGGUUACUUGCUUACCAUGGUUGUUACGGGUAACGGAGAAUCAGGGUUCGAUUCCGGAGAGGGAGCCUGAGAAACGGCUACCACAUCCAAGGAAGGCAGCAGGCGCGCAAAUUACCCACUCCCGGCACGGGGAGGUAGUGACGAAAAAUAACAAUACGGGACUCUUUUGAGGCCCCGUAAUUGAAAUGAGUACACUCUAAAUCCUUUAACGAGGAUCAAUUGGAGGGCAAGUCUGGUGCCAGCAGCCGCGGUAAUUCCAGCUCCAAUAGCGUAUACGAAAGCUGCUGCGGUUAAAAAGCUCGUAGUUGGAUCUCAGUUCCAGACGAGUAGUGCAUCUACCCGAUGCGACGGCUCGGACUGAACAUCAUGCCGGUUCUUUCUUGGUGCACUUCAUUGUGUGCCUCGAGAUGGCCGGUGCUUUUACUUUGUUUGAAAAAAUUAGAGUGCUCAACGCAGGCGAGUCGCCUGAAUAAACUUGCGAGGAAUAAUAGAACAAGACCUCGUUUCUGUUCUGUUGGUUUUUGGAAUACGAGGUAAUGAUUAAGAGGGACGGACGGGGGCAUUCGUAUUGCGGCGCUAGAGGUGAAAUUCUUGGACCGUCGCAAGACGAACUACUGCGAAAGCAUUUGCCAAGAAUGUUUUCAUUGAUCAAGAACGAAAGUCAGAGGUUCGAAGGCGAUCAGAUACCGCCCUAGUUCUGACCAUAAACGAUGCCAACCAGCGAUCCGCCUGAGUUACUCAAAUGACUCGGCGGGCAGCUUCCGGGAAACCAAAGUAUUUGGGUUCCGGGGGAAGUAUGGUUGCAAAGCUGAAACUUAAAGGAAUUGACGGAAGGGCACCACCAGGAGUGGAGCCUGCGGCUUAAUUUGACUCAACACGGGAAAACUUACCCGGCCCGGACACUGGGAGGAUUGACAGAUUGAGAGCUCUUUCUUGAUUCGGUGGAUGGUGGUGCAUGGCCGUUCUUAGUUGGUGGAGCGAUUUGUCUGGUUAAUUCCGAUAACGAACGAGACUCUAGCCUAUUAAAUAGGUGCGGGGUUCCCAGCACCUUACAACCUUCUUAGAGGGACAAGCGGCUCCUAGCCGCACGAAACAGAGCAAUAACAGGUCUGUGAUGCCCUUAGAUGUCCGGGGCCGCACGCGCGCUACACUGAAGGAAGCAGCGUGUCUUUAUCCCUGUCUGAAAAGACUGGGUAACCCGUGGAACUUCUUUCGUGAUUGGGAUAGGGGCUUGCAAUUGUUCCCCUUGAACGAGGAAUUCCCAGUAAGCGCGAGUCAUAAGCUCGCGUUGAUUACGUCCCUGCCCUUUGUACACACCGCCCGUCGCUACUUCCGAUUGAAUGAUUUAGUGAGGUCUUCGGACCGAUGUCCGGCGCGGCCUUUCGGUUGCGCCGGUCUGUUGGAAAGAUGACCAAACUUGAUCAUUUAGAGGAAGUAAAAGUCGUAACAAGGUUUCCGUAGGUGAACCUGCGGAAG
rnacentral:rRNA from 1 species